UACGUAGGGUGCAAGCGUUGUCCGGAAUUACUGGGCGUAAAGAGCUCGUAGGUGGUUUGUCGCGUCGUUUGUGUAAGUCCACGGCUUAACUGUGGGAUGGCAGGCGAUACGGGCAUAACUUGAGUGCUGUAGGGGAGACUGGAAUUCCUGGUGUAGCGGUGAAAUGCGCAGAUAUCAGGAGGAACACCGAUGGCGAAGGCAGGUCUCUGGGCAGUAACUGACGCUGAGGAGCGAAAGCAUGGGUAGCGAACAGG
rnacentral:rRNA from 1 species